ensembl:lncRNA
GGGGACCCUGUGCCCAAACCUCUCUUUCUCUCUUUCUCAUCACUGGACUGAGCUUUGUUUUGCUGCUCAGGGUGAGGGCAUUGGACAAGAUGACCUGACGAUCCUUCCACUUCAGGCCCAUGCUUUUCUAGUUAGCGGUUUUCAGAGCUCACCUGCUCCAGGUGUGCCUCUAGUCUCCGUUCACUAGUCAUGUCUGAAUCCCGGAGGUGUCUAUGGAACAGUUGCCAGAAACCAACAAACCGAGGACUGGAAAGGAAGCAAGCUGAAUGCCAUCCAGAGGAUCAUCUUGCCAGUACUGCUCCGCUUGUAAAAACCAUCUUGGCCAAAUCCCUGUGAUUUCAUCCAGAACAAAUAAUAAAAAGCAGUGUGCAAUAUUUCCAGGAUGAGCAUAUUCAUAGUAAAUAUUUUAAGAUCAAUGGCUGCACAAAAUGCAUUUUCCUUGGAGUUUCACUUUUCAAAUGGCUUUGUAUUAAAAG